GGGGAAUCUUCCGCAAUGGACGAAAGUCUGACGGAGCAACGCCGCGUGAGUGAUGACGGCCUUCGGGUUGUAAAGCUCUGUUAAUCGGGACGAAAGGCCUUCUUGCGAAUAGUUAGAAGGAUUGACGGUACCGGAAUAGAAAGCCACGGCUAACUACGUGCCAGCAGCCGCGGUAAUACGUAGGUGGCAAGCGUUGUCCGGAAUUAUUGGGCGUAAAGCGCGCGCAGGCGGUUUGGUCAGUCUGUCUUCAAAGUUCGGGGCUUAACCCCGUGAUGGGAUGGAAACUGCCAAUCUAGAGUAUCGGAGAGGAAAGUGGAAUUCCUAGUGUAGCGGUGAAAUGCGUAGAUAUUAGGAAGAACACCAGUGGCGAAGGCGACUUUCUGGACGAAAACUGACGCUGAGGCGCGAAAGCCAGGGGAGCGAACGGGAUUAGAUACCCCGGUAGUCCUGGCCGUAAACGAUGGGUACUAGGUGUAGGAGGUAUCGACCCCUUCUGUGCCGGAGUUAACGCAAUAAGUACCCCGCCUGGGGAGUACGACCGCAAGGUUG
rnacentral:rRNA from 1 species